rnacentral:rRNA from 1 species
UACGUAGGGGGCAAGCGUUGUCCGGAUUUAUUGGGCGUAAAGAGCGUGUAGGCGGCCAGGUAGGUCUGCCGUGAAAACUCGAGGCUCAACCUCGAGAUGUCGGCGGAAACCAUCUGGCUAGAGUCCGGAAGAGGAGAAUGGAAUUCCCGGUGUAGCGGUGAAAUGCGCAGAUAUCGGGAAGAACACCCGUGGCGAAGGCGGCAUCCUGGACCAACAUUGACGCUGAGGAGCGAAAGCUAGGGGAGCAAACGGG